rnacentral:rRNA from 1 species
GACGAACGCUGGCGGCGUGCCUAAUACAUGCAAGUUGAGCGCUGAAGGUUGGUACCUGUACCAACUGGAUGAGCAGCGAACGGGUGAGUAACGCGUGGGGAAUCUGCCUUUGAGCGGGGGACAACAUUUGGAAACGAAUGCUAAUACCGCAUAAAAACUUUAAACACAAGUUUUAAGUUUGAAAGAUGCAAUUGCAUCACUCAAAGAUGAUCCCGCGUUGUAUUAGCUAGUUGGUGAGGUAAAGGCUCACCAAGGCGAUGAUACAUAGCCGACCUGAGAGGGUGAUCGGCCACAUUGGGACUGAGACACGGCCUAAACUCCUACGGGAGGCAGCAGUAGGGAAUCUUCGGCAAUGGACGAAAGUCUGACCGAGCAACGCCGCGUGAGUGAAGAAGGUUUUCGGAUCGUAAAACUCUGUUGGUAGAGAAGAACGUUGGUGAGAGUGGAAAGCUCAUCAAGUGACGGUAACUACCCAGAAAGGGACGGCUAACUACGUG